rnacentral:rRNA from 1 species
CCUACGGGUGGCAGCAGUGGGGAAUAUUGGGCAAUGGGCGCAAGCCUGACCCAGCAACGCCGCGUGAAGGAAGAAGGCUUUCGGGUUGUAAACUUCUUUUCUCAGGGACGAAGCAAGUGACGGUACCUGAGGACUAAGCCACGGCUAACUACGUGCCCGCAGCCGCGGUAAUACGUAGGGGGCAAGCGUUAUCCGGAUUUACGGGGGGUAAAGGGGGUGUAGGCGGGAAAGCAAGUCAGAUGUUAAAACCAUGGGCUCAACCUGUGGCCUGCAUUUGAAACUGUUUUUCUUGAGUACUGGAGAGGCAGACGGAAUUCCUAGUGUAGCGGUGAAAUGCGUAGAUAUUAGGAGGAACACCAGUGGCGAAGGCGGUCUGCUGGACAGCAACUGACGCUGAGGCGCGAAAGCGUGGGGAGCAAACAGGAUUAGAUACCCGGGUAGUC